UCCGAAUGGAUGCAUUUUCCCAGGCAUAUCACUUUUGUAUUUCAGCUCCUUGCCGUUCAAUCCAACACAUAAAAAUUUAUUCCACGACAACUUCUUUACCUCUUCAGGGAUAAUAAAUUCAACUUCCGGUAUUAUGGCGAUUUCCAAACCAAGGUGCGGUUGUUGAUUGAUUUCUUCCACAAUUUGAUAUCCAAUUCCUGGGUCAGGUGGUAUUCCAACAAAAUUAAAUUUUGGAAUUAAGUCUUCGUUGACUUGCAAAAGAGAAAUAUCAAAAGUAGGGAGGGAAAUUUAGUUUUCUCCGAUGCUUCCUCAACUCCAUGCUUAUUUUCAUCCAAGCUCACUUCCUUCACCUCCGAAGACCCUACUUCAUUUUCCACUUCCAAUUUAACCACUUCUUCAUCCUCAUUUUUACUCUCAAUCUCCUUUUUAUUUUCUCGAGGCUUCUCCCUAAAUUCUCGCUCACGCCGAUUACUCCUAUAAUAAUUUGGAGCAUAUCGUCUCCUCAUAAUAUGCCUCAACUCAUUCCAAAUUUCAAUACGCCUCUCUCCAUUCCUCCGCCUAGAUUUUGUCGACUGAUCGUACCAAGUAGUUGCAUAACCCACAAAAGUGUACAUAACUAACUUUACUUUUCUCUCCCCGGAGUAGUCAUGGCAAUCAAACACUAAUUCUACCCGUUCUUCCCAAGUCAAGUAUGCCUCGGGAUCGUCCCUACCCUUAAAUCACGGAAGUGAUAAUUUGCCAUUUUCCACAUUCCUACCAACACCGUAUCCAACACAAUUUAUAUCCCGUUCACCAAGCCUAUCACAUCUAUUUUUCAUUCCCCGCAAAUCGACAUCAACCAAUGCAUCCCCUCUACUACAAUUGUCAUAUGCAUCACAAAUUUUUGUCAUAGGUUCCCGUCUCCUCACAUCGAACCUCUCAUCACAUUCAUCCCAAUGAAUAUUUUUCAACUUCAUAUCCAGUCUGUCUAAUUUAUUUCCCAACCUAUUCUCCAUAUCCAUCAACAUUUUCUCCAAUCGCCGCAUCACCGUUUCAGACAUAAUUCAAUUGGGUUGUGGGUGAAACUCGUGAAUUUUCAAAGACUCAAGAAUUGGAUAGAAAAUUUGGAAUGAAUUAUGAAAAUUCAAGAAGUGGUCUUGAAUUUCUGACCGACUGGACUAGACAAUUUGAAACUUUAAUAUGAAUUCAAGAAAGUGGUUCUUGAAUUGGAAUUCGACACAAUAAUAACUUUUUUGUUUUUUUGUAACUCAAUUUUUUUUGGAACAGUAACUCGGAUAAACAGAAUUUUUUUUAAAUGACGUGAACAGUAACUCGGAACAGUGAUUCUGCCUUUUCUAACAUCCUAACACUAAAAAUUUUAUUUUACUGCCUCACCAAAAAUCACUCAGAAACACACAAGGGCUUUUACCCUCUAUUAAGCUCACCUCUCUGCCUUUUACCACUCAAUUCUUUCAACAAUUGCUUCUAGGAACAAUCAAUGAGCUCAAUCAAUCAAUCAAAUCAUGUAGAAUUCCCCAAACCGGAUGUGACUCAAUAAUUGUAACAAAGGACUCAAAGAAAACUUUUAAAACUUGACUUGAAUUGAAGGAAUGGAAUGAUUCAAUGUGUCCAAGUAAUUUAGAAAUGAUAUUGAAUAAUAAAAGUUGGUAUUUGACGGAUCACUAAUAUUUAACAAUUUUUU
rnacentral:lncRNA from 1 species